CUCCCACCUGCGUUCACUUUCAUUUCGCGUGCGGGUUUGUCACCCAAACACUCGCCCCAAUGCUUGACUCCUUGGUCCGUGUUUCAAGACGGGUCGCUGGUGGCCAUUACGCCAGCAUCCUUGCCCGAAGGCGCGGUCCUCGGCCCCCCCAGAGGCAUGGCGCCGCGGGCUAUAACACUCCCGAAGGAGCUACGUUCCCGCGGCCUUUGUCCCCCUGGGAGAGCCGAUGCUGGCCUGCGCCGCCGCGGCGUGCCCCGCCGCAGAGCGACGGGUGGUCCGCGGGGCGCACGUCUGGCCACAGGCGCUUCCCUUUCAACAAUUUCACGUGCUGUUUAACCCUCUUUUCAAAGUGCUUUUCAUCUUUCGAUCACUCUACUUGUGCGCUAUCGGUCUCUGGCCGGUAUUUAGCUUUAGAAGAAAUUUACCUCCCAUUUUGAGCAGCAUUCCCAAACUACUCGACUCGUCGAAGGAGCUUUGCACGGGCUAGGCGUCCGACCGUACGGGGCUCUCACCCUCUCUGGCGUCCUGUUCCAAGGAACUCGGAAGGCGCCGCGCCCAAAGCAUCCUCUCCAAAUUACAACUCGGGCCCCCCAGGGGGGAGCCAGAUUUCAAAUUU
rnacentral:rRNA from 1 species